CCAGCAGCCGCGGUAAUUCCAGCUCCAAUAGCGUAUAUUAAAGUUGUUGCAGUUAAAAAGCUCGUAGUCGAUAUUCUAAGCACCCUUUAUGUAUGCUGAGGCUAUAUGAAGGGUGCUUAUCCGCCCGAGAACAAUACGCGGCCUUAAGUGGUCGGUAUUGCACAUCGGGCAUUUUACUGAGAAAAAAUUAGAGUGUUCAAAGCAGGCAAACGCCUUGAAUACACAAGCUUGGAAUAAUGGAAUAGGACUAAAAUCUUUUUUGUUGGUUAUAAGAUUUUAGUAAUGGUUAAUAGAAACAGUUGGGGGCAUUAGUAUUUAAUUGUCAGAGGUGAAAUUCUUGGAUUUAUUAAAGACUAACAUAUGCGAAAGCAUUUGCCAAGGAUGUUUUCAAUUGAUCAAGAACGAAA
rnacentral:rRNA from 1 species